rnacentral:rRNA from 1 species
UCCACGCCCUAAACGAUGUCUACUAGUUGUUGGUGGAGUAAAAUCCAUGAGUAACGCAGCUAACGCGUGAAGUAGACCGCCUGGGGAGUACGGUCGCAAGAUUAAAACUCAAAUGAAUUGACGGGGGCCCGCACAAGCGGUGGAUUAUGUGGAUUAAUUCGAUGCAACGCGAAAAACCUUACCUGGCCUUGACAUGUAACGAACUUUCCAGAGAUGGAUUGGUGCUCGAAAGAGAACGUUAACACAGGUGCUGCAUGGCUGUCGUCAGCUCGUGUCGUGAGAUGUUGGGUUAAGUCCCGCAACGAGCGCAACCCUUGCCAUUAAUUGCCAUCAUUUAGUGGGCACUUUAAUGGGACUGCCGGUGACAAACCGGAGGAAGGUGGGGAUGACGUCAAGUCCUCAUGGCCCUU